CGUCGCAGCGUACGGACGUGUACGCGUGUGGUUUCAUUCGGUGUGUGACGGUGCGUUGUUACGCGAAGCAAAAAUCGAACCCCGCCUGGGGCCCGCGUACAACGUUCUGGCAAAGGGUGGCUGGCUGAAAGUGAAACUUGACCCGAACAAAACCCCAAAAACCAUUCCCACACCAAGCACCCCGCACAUCGUCCGUUGCUGGUGGAUGCGCGUUGAUUGAUGGUUGGCGGGUGGCGCACCCGCACGGCAAGGGCAGUGGGACGAAGCAUCACCAACCGGAUAUGCGAUUUGGCGGUGUUUGCGCGCCCUGUAACGAUUUUCGCGCCGCGUGCGUGUGCGGUGACGGUUGCGUCCACGCCAAAAAUGCGUCCAAACAGUGCAAUACACCGUGUGCGUGUGCGUUAGUGCGUGUAACGAGCCUUCAUUGCGUAACAGCCGCAUCACCGUGCGGUGCACGUGCAGCACGCGACCAUGCAUAGCGCGUGUGUGACCCAGGUGGUGUGAGGCCUGUGGCCGUUGUGUCUUGCGGUUGCGUGUAUGCGUGCGACUCCGUGGUGCGUAGUGGUUGUUGCCUAGUCUGACCCCCAUUCGUUCGUAACCGCGUGGGGCCGGGUCCACCGUUUGUCAACAAAUCGUCACUCAAAAGUGCACAACGCGCUGGUUUUAACGCCAGCCGUACCGUUGGAUCGAUCAAUCCGGUGGAAUAUCGAGCACGCACACACUAUCAGUGGCAACAAUCAACGCACGUACCAGCGCCUACAAUCAGCAAUCCCGGCCGGUAUCGUGCGCCAGUGGGAACAGCGCCCGUCGAGCAGGAAAAGCAGAAAGGACAGCCCGCAGCAGUUCCGUACGCGAGGCCGCAACGUUUUGCGAAGCGAAAGUCACCCGAAACGACGCGACGACAUUUGCAUCUGGCCAGUUACAAGGUACCGACCGCCGUCAGUUGUCCACGGUCCUGUGGCGAGUGUGGUGCAUCUCCGGUCAAAGAAAAAAAACACACACACACCCAGAAAUCAAAACAAACCCGAGACG